rnacentral:rRNA from 1 species
UGGGGAAUAUUGGACAAUGGGCGCAAGCCUGAUCCAGCAAUGCCGCGUGUGUGAAGAAGGCCUGCGGGUUGUAAAGCACUUUUGUUCGGGAAGAAAUCAUGUCGGUUAAUACCCGAUGUGGAUGACGGUACCGAAAGAAUAAGCACCGGCUAACUUCGUGCCAGCAGCCGCGGUAAUACGAAGGGUGCAAGCGUUAAUCGGAAUUACUGGGCGUAAAGCGUGCGUAGGCGGCUUCUUAAGUCGGAUGUGA